rnacentral:rRNA from 1 species
GACGAACGCUGGCGGCGUGCUUAACACAUGCAAGUCGAACGGAAAGACCCUGCUUUUGUUGGUUGCUCGAUUGGCGAACGGGUGAGUAACACGUGAGUAACCUGCCCUUGACUUUCUGAUAACUUCACGAAACUGGGGCUAAUACCGGAUAGAAGCUCCUGCUGCAUGGUGGUGUUUGGAGAGUUUCGGCGGUUGUGGAUGGACUCGCGGCUUAUCAGCUUGUUGGUGGGGUAGUGGCUUACCAAGGCUUUGACGGGUAGCCGGCCUGGGAGGGUGACCGGCGACAUUGGGACUGAGAUACGGCCCAGACUCCUACGGGAGGCAGCAGUGGGGAAUAUUGCACAAUGGGCGGAAGCCUGAUGCAGCAACGCCGCGUGCGGGAUGACGGCCUUCGGGUUGUAAACCGCUUUCGCCUGUGACGAAGCGUGAGUGACGGUAAUGGGUAAAGAAGCACCGGCUAACUACGUG